UCCUGGCGGCCCAGAUCGCAGCGCGAAGGGCGUGGAAUAGAAGCCUCUUCCAGGGACUGGCAGCCAGGAAGCAGUGACUCACUGUCAUCUAGUGAAGACGCAGAGUGCUUAAACAUAUUGACCUAAAUGUAAUCCUGCCUCUUCGGAAUGGCUGGGCUUCGGCCAGCCUGGUUUCAGGGAAAUAGCCAUCUUGUUCCUACUUAAUGUCCAGCACGAAGUCUCCAAGCCCCGUAUUCCAGGAUUUGACCUACCUUUGAUCUAGCUAGCAGGAGCCUAAAAUUGAAAGUUGAACACGUGGAGUAUUGAAUCAAGAACCCUCCGUCUCAAAGAUCAAAACCUUGUACUUAGUAACUGAACACAGUCUGCUAAUUAUAACAUAAAGGACUUGAUUUUGAACAGUA